GGGUUGCCUCCAGUGAUUCCCACUGUCUCCCAGUGUGAUUCUCACUGUCUCUUGAAAUCGGAGGCAGGAGUUUGGCCCAGAGGAAGAAAGUGUCCCGCUCCUGGCCAGUAGCACGAGUGCAGGAGCGGCAUGGACGUGCCCUGGUCAAGAGCCUCGCUGCGCCCGAGAGGUCGGAACAGAGGGACCCAUGGUGGUCCCACACACCCCAAAGCCUUCCUGACUGGGAGUGCCCUGCAGUAAUUGUCCUGAAUGAGGAGCCAGGGCAGAGGGUCCUUCCGUGGUGUUUGGAGGAACUCCCACCCUGGGGAGCAUGUGGAAAUCAGGCAUCUUGUCGGAAGAGGCCGGGGCUCCUCUGGUUGAAGUCAGGUCCGCCAGCUGCUGAGGACCAAAGCUCUUGCUCUGCUGGGCUGCAGGGCUUUCAUGUUGCACUUCUGAAAGAUAAUAAAAUAUCAAUCGCUUUGCUGUA